GUUCCUACCAAUAAUAUUACUUUUUAUAUUAUAAUAUUUAAAUGUAUAUUUAUUGCUUUUUUUUCCACUUGCUUUUUGUUCUGGGUUCCAUUAGGUUUAACUGAAGAAACAUUUGUAGAGUUUUUCAGAGUGGUAUGCAACAUGCUUCCAUUAACCUAUAACCAUUUGAAUAUCAUAAUGGAUUAUAAACGUGCCUUGAUGAAAGCACAAGUUGUAUUUCCAGAGACCAUAUUGCGAUGUUGUUAGUUUCAUUAUACUCAAGUAAUAAUUAAUACCAUUUUAUUAAUUUUAAAUAUUAUAUAUAUAUAAUAAUAAUUUAUUGAUUAUCUAAUAAUGCAUUUUAAAUAUAGGUACAGUCAAGAUAGUUAUAGUAUUAAACAUGACAGUAAAUACAGUAGUAUAAAGCAUAGUUGAACAUGUUAUAAGAACAAUAAAAAAUAGAAUGUACAAACAUUUAACAUCAAUAGGUACAUAGAAUUGUAAAUUUUAAUUGCUUUAAUUCAAUUACAAAACUAAUAACUUAUUACAACUAUUAAAAUAACUUAUUACUAAACAUUCGUUAUUAUUUAUGUUGAACAAACAAAUAAAAAUAGAAAAAAUGUAUUUAAAGUUAAAUUAUCUUAACAUAAUCAUGCAUUCAGUGAAUGGGUGAAUAUACACCAAAUUGGAUUACAGAAGUAAAUGAUGGAUAAAAUAAAACUAUUUUAAGAUAUUUUAAUGAAUAAGACAUUACAAAAACAACAAAUUUAUCAAUAAAAAAUGAAUGGAUUAAAAAAAUUAAGUUGAAAAACAAUGGAGACAUUGCUCUAUUGUAAUAUAUUUGAAAAAUGUUUAAAAAUGUAAUGGGGAACAUUUCCUUGACUGUUAUUCAGUGUAACCAUGAACAUUCCAUAUGUCAUACACCAAAACCGUUAAUUGUAUAUUUCUCCGAAACACAUAACUACUGGUUUUGGGAUAUGGUAGCUUGUGGACACAAUGAACAAAAGACAGAGAAAAUGCUGUUUACUAUUUUAAUAGCAAUAUCAAUAUUUUUAAACAAUGAAAAUAUAUUCAAUUAUGAACAUCCAGCUCAAUUUAAAAAACUAUGGAAGUACUAAUUUGUGACCUCAAAUAUUAAAAAUAAAAGAAAGUUCGUAGAAAGUCUAUGCAAAAUUCAUAAACAAGAACAAGUUUAAUGAAUUCUAAUUUUUUAAUUAUUUCAAAAAAUCCUAUUUACAUAUCACCUGUAUCUUCAACACAACCAAGUGAUAACUUUGUUGCCAAUUUUCUGUGACAAUUAAAAGAUGGAUAAAAUUUACAACAAAUUUUUUCUAGAUCAUGUGGAAUUAUAUAGGACUCGAGACUAUAAAACAAAAAUAACAAAAUCCAGUAUUGAACUCCCAGCUCAAUUUUAAAAAAAAAAACCGAUAAGUAUGCUACAGUAAAUAGUAAAACUUUAUAAACUUCAGGAAUUAUAUUUACAAAGAUGGCAGUAACAGUGGUACAGUUGCACUAAGAAAAAAAAUUCCUAAAACAAUUAUUUAUAAAAAAACUGAUAAUUCUGUGUGAUUUAAAAUUGACUUAAAAUACAAUAAAUAUUAUCAUUGGUUAUGAAAAUAGUGAUACACUAUAAAAUUAACAUUAUGUAUAUAUUGGAUAUGAAAAUUACUAUUUUCUUGAUUUUUCAUAGCUGCCAAUAAGCAAUAAAAAUAUACUGCUUAUAAGUUUAUACCAAUAUAUUAAACAUUUAUUUAGAUGGUGUGAUCAAGGGAACAAGACUGUAUCUCAGAUCAAGAUCAAAAUCAAUAUCAAAAUCAAUCUGGUUUCAUAGAUCAUGAAUAAUUUUAGUGUAAUAGAUCAAAGAAACAAUGGACAACACAGAUAAUCAAAUCAAAUAUAUAAUGAAGAAAAACAUGAUUGGAAAUCAUUUACAUCAUAUACAUGGCAUAAAAAAUGUAUUGGCUAAUACAUGUUUUAUUUUAAUAUAAAAUUUACUCAACUAAAGAUGAAUUUGAAGACAAAGAGGAAUAUUAUUAUCUUGACCAAAUACCAUCAACUUUAAAUGGCUUUUUAAAGAAUAAGCUCUUAUUGAUCAUGAAGAAUAUAUGAAAGGUAAUAAAUGUUAUCUAAUAAUACUAAUAAAAAUAACCACAAAAGAAAACUUCUUUUUAUUCCUACAAGAAACAAAUAAAAAAAAAAAAAUCUUACUUUAUAAUCAAGUUAAUAACUUAACUGUAACUUAAUUUUAUUUGUGUAUGUCUAUAUAUAUCAAACUCGUGCAAAUUUCUAGGUUUUGUGUUAAGUUUUCUUACU